rnacentral:rRNA from 1 species
GCAUAUCAAUAAGCGGAGGAAAAGAAACCAACAGGGAUUGCCCUAGUAACGGCGAAGUGAAGCGGCAACAGCUCAAAUUUGAAAUCUGGCUCUUUCAGGGUCCGAGUUGUAAUUUGCAGAGGGCGCUUUGGCUUUGGCAGCGGUCCAAGUUCCUUGGAACAGGACGUCACAGAGGGUGAGAAUCCCGUACGUGGUCGCUAGCUAUUGCCGUGUAAAGCCCCUUCGACGAGUCGAGUUGUUUGGGAAUGCAGCUCUAAAUGGGAGGUAAAUUUCUUCUAAAGCUAAAUACUGGCCAGAGACCGAUAGCGCACAAGUAGAGUGAUCGAAAGAUGAAAAGCACUUUGGAAAGAGAGUCAAACAGCACGUGAAAUUGUUGAAAGGGAAGCGCUUGCAGCCAGACUUGCUUGCAGUUGCUCAUCCGGGCUUUUGCCCGGUGCACUCUUCUGCAGGCAGGCCAGCAUCAGUUUGGGCGGUGGGAUAAAGGUCUCUGUCACGUACCUCUCUUCGGGGAGGCCUUAUAGGGGAGACGACAUACCACCAGCCUGGACUGAGGUCCGCGCAUUCGCUAGGAUGCUGGCGUAAUGGCUGUAAGCGGCCCGUCUUGAAACACGGACCAAGGAGUCUAACAUCUAUGCGAGUGUUUGGGUGUCAAGCCCGAACGCGUAAUGAAAGUGAACGGAGGUGGGAACCCGCAAGGGUGCACCAUCGACCGAUCCUGAUGUCUUCGGAAGGAUUUGAGUAAGAGCAUGGCUGUUGGGACCCGAAAGAUGGUGAACUAUGCUUGAAUAGGGUGAAGCCAGAGGAAAACUCUGGUGGAGGCUCGCAGCGGUUUCUGACGUGCAAAUCGAUCGUCAAAUUUGGGCAUAGGGGCGAAAGACUAAUCGAACUAUCUAGUAGCUGGUUCUGCGA